AUGGCUCAGUUGGUAGAGCGCACCCUUGGUAAGGGUGAGGUCCCCAGUUCGACUCUGGGU
rnacentral:tRNA from 1 species